UCAGAUUUUUAAGGAGCCACACGUAAGCCCCACCUACCUACCCCCUUAACUCCCAACCACACAAAUGUCACAAAAUAUCUCUUCCUCACCCUUAGCCAGCCAUACCCCUCACUUUCUCAUCUCUUUUCUUUCUUUUCACACAAAGACAAACACACUCAUAUCUCCAUUCACACACUCCCACCGGUGCAUCACUCCACCACCUCCACCAUCUUUUUCUAGGAAGGUUUACCAGAAAACUCCAUAGGAAAAAGCUAAGACUCACUCAUCUCUAGUAUUUGAGGUUCUAGCUAAUUUCAUUUGGAGCUUGGAAAAUUAGGCUUUUGCAGGUUGCGAGGUAAGUAGCUUUUUAAUGGGAUUUUUGGAAAAUAAUCAUGUUGCAUAAACGUUGUUUUUGGGUCAAACACAUUUAGAAAAAUUAUUUGUGGAACUAUGUUUUUCUAAAAAGUGUUGUAUUGUGAUCCUACUAUAUAUGAUUAUAUAUGAAAGUGCAUAUUCUUAUUACAUAUGGGGAAUUGCAUGAUUUGUUAGCAUGGAAAAGACUAGCAUCUUUGAUUAAAUUCUUAAGAAUGGAUUUUAUGGAUUUAUUGCAUUAUUUGCAAAAUAUAAAGAUGUUUUAUCUUAAUCUAUGUUAUUUGGGAAGUUAAUACAAAAUCUUUUUGACAAAAAAUAAGUUAAGGGCUUUGAGAACCUUGUGAAUAUCUUGGGUAUCCAAAUAUUUUAUGAAACUACUUGGAAGUGAAUUAUGUACUUUGAAUUAAAGGCAAUUUGUGAGCUCUUUAUAUUCUACCCAUAUGCUAUGACAUGUGAUUACCCAAUGAUUACCUAGCAAGAUACUAUAGUCUGUGUGGCAUUGGUAUCUUAGCACCCGUCUUUGUGAUAGUUAUUGAGUUCCGUCUUUGUGACGCCGUUGAGUUUCAUCUUUGUGACGGCAUAUUAGUUCCGUCUUUGUGACAGCGAUGAGUUCCGUCUUUGUAGUGGCAUAAUUAGUUCCAACUGUGUGUCGGCGAUGAGUUCCGUCUUUGUGACGGUAGAUUAGUUCUAUCUUUGUGACGGCAUUCUCAUGUGGCCUUGGGUUUGAAAUUGUAUUGUUAUUGCUCACAAAUUAUAGUAUGUAGUUUCAUGCGAGCAUUUUGAGAAGCUUUGUGCUGUAUCAUUCUAAUCAUUCUUGUCAUAUUAUUUUUGGAAAUGGUUUUGUAGAAUUUAUUUGGAUUGAAUUGUUCAAAAGGGAAAAAUUAACAGGUACCCUUGAGAUGUUUUCUCAUGCUUUAGACCCUUUUGGGUUCGAGGCGUGACACAAAUCAUAUCAACCCAAAAGUAGAGUUCAACACAAAAAUUCAUCAACCUAAAUUAAAGAUGCAAUAAAGAAUUAAAAGCACACCAAGAGAGAGAGAGAGAGAGAGAGAGAGAGAGAGAGAGAGAGAGAGUACUUACCUCUUUGUAUGAGAAAAAUAUGGAUUGAAUGAAAAUGAUAAAUUUUUAUAGUAAAUAAAAUGUGGAGAAGAAGAGUCAAAAUAAAAGAAAGAUGAAGGGAAUGAGCAAUUUCAACGUAAAGAUAUAGAGUAGUAGGGAGAUAAAAAGAUAAAAGUAAGAGAGAUAUAUUGGAGGAAGUAUAAUUUUAAGGUGAGAAAGUAUAGGAAAUUGGUGGAUGAUGUGGCGUAAUAGAAGCGUAGCAACAUAAAUGCUAUGCUUAGCUUUUAGUUUGGGAGGGAGGGAGGAAAGUAUUUUUAGUGGGUGUUUGGUUGGGAGAAAGGAAGGGAAAAAAAAGUGGUGGGGCCUAGAUGUUUUCUCUCCAGACCCACCAAAAUAUUUUCUCCCCAAAAUGAGAAGAAAACUUAAAAGGAAAACUUAGUAUGUAUAAAGAAGACCAAAAUACCCAUGUGUAAGUGCACAUGGGUUUGUCGUAUGUGUCACUAGUUUUGCAUUUUUUUUCUCCUUUGAUUUUUUCUCUCUUUCCGUUGUACUAUCUCUUUUUUUUU